CAGAAGAGUAGGAAGCAUUCUGGGGAAGGAGCAGUGAGGGCCGGGACAGUAAAGUCAAGAGCUUCUGGGGUGAGGGUCCCUAGACUGGAAUCUGGAGUAGAGGAUGGGCCUGGGUUCCCCUACCAGCCCUGAAGAGUGGCUCUGAAUGGAAAGACUUGGAUAUACUCCAGAAGCGGUGGGAACACUGAGUGACCUAGCUAGAGAGUUGAGUCACAAAGAAGAUACUGUGGUUCCUGGAAUGAGAGAGGAGCUGGAGACCUGAGAGAUAGAUGGUGUGAUGGCGUGCAACCCCAGGAUGGGGUGUCAGCCUUCAGAGAAUUCCCAGAGUGACCAGGAGGAGGUGCCAGACAAGUGCCAACACAACCCCAGAUAAUGGUUUGUGUAACAGGCUCCCCACACCACAGCAGCAGCCCUGGGAAUCCUGGCUGGAGCUGGUUUUCCUGGAGCUGGUAGGCUCCCUGCUGUAGAGCUGCUAAGUGGUAUUGGCAUUCUUGAGAGACACAGGAUAGGUGAGGAAAUAUCUUUCACUGGACCUUCUGGUGGUGGAUGGUACAAGCUUUCAAGCUACACUGCUGGAGGUACACAGUUUGAAAGCUUGUAUCUUCCACCAACAGAAAGAAGUUGGUCCAAUAAGAUAUUAUCUCACCUACCUCAUCUCUCUCCUAUACUGGGACCAACACAGGGGCAAUAACUUUGCAACUGACAUUCUUGUCAGUUUCACAGUUGCUAAUCAC